rnacentral:rRNA from 1 species
CCUACGGGAGGCAGCAGUGAGGAAUAUUGGUCAAUGGACGAAAGUCUGAACCAGCCAAGUCGCGUGAAGGAUGACUGCCCUAUGGGUUGUAAACUUCUUUUAUAUGGGAAUAAAAUGUUCCACGUGUGGGAUUUUGUAUGUACCAUAUGAAUAAGGAUCGGCUAACUCCGUGCCAGCAGCCGCGGUAAUACGGAGGAUCCGAGCGUUAUCCGGAUUUAUUGGGUUUAAAGGGAGCGUAGGUGGAUUGUUAAGUCAGUUGUGAAAGUUUGCGGCUCAACCGUAAAAUUGCAGUUGAAACUGGCAGUCGUGAGUACAGUAGAGGUGGGCGGAAUUCGUGGUGUAGCGGUGAAAUGCUUAGAUAUCACGAAGAACUCCGAUUGCGAAGGCAGCUCACUGGACUGCAACUGACACUGAGGCUCGAAAGUGUGGGUAUCAAACAGGAUUAGAUACCCGAGUAGUC